UCAGUUGAAGCCAAUGUACGGCGUGCCACUGUUAAUGGUAAUUUAAGAAGUUAAAAUCUUCUCAAUUGAG
rnacentral:tRNA from 1 species